rnacentral:rRNA from 1 species
GACGAACGCUGGCGGCGUGCUUAACACAUGCAAGUCGAACGGAAAGGCCCUGCUUUUGUGGGGUGCUCGAGUGGCGAACGGGUGAGUAACACGUGAGUAACCUGCCCUUGACUUUGGGAUAACUUCAGGAAACUGGGGCUAAUACCGGAUAGGAGCUCCUGCUGCAUGGUGGGGGUUGGAAAGUUUCGGCGGUUGGGGAUGGACUCGAGGCUUAUCAGCUUGUUGGUGGGGUAGGGGCUUACCAAGGCUUUGACGGGUAGCCGGCCUGAGAGGGUGACCGGCCACAUUGGGACUGAGAUACGGCCCAGACUCCUACGGGAGGCAGCAGUGGGGAAUAUUGCACAAUGGGCGGAAGCCUGAGGCAGCAACGCCGCGUGCGGGAUGACGGCCUUCGGGUUGUAAACCGCUUUCGCCUGUGACGAAGCGUGAGUGACGGUAAUGGGUAAAGAAGCACCGGCUAACUACGUG